ACUGCAGACAUGAACCACUGGCUGAGAAACAUCCUGAUUCUGACUCUCUGGCUAGAGUGUAAAGGAGAAGACAGAGUGACCCAGCCAGCAGGAGAUGUCAUUGCUGCUGAAGGAGCCACAGUUACACUUGACUGUACUUUUGAGACGAGUUACUCAGGUCCAACUUUGUUCUGGUACAAACAGGAUGGAGACAACAGCCCCAAAUUCAUACUGAGCCGCGUUCAACAGGAUGAUGGGAAAACAGAGGAAGAGUUUAAAGAAAGAUUUUCAUCCACACUGGAUUCCACCUCCAAAUCAGUUCCUCUGAAGAUCCAGAAGCUUCAGCUGUCUGACUCUGCUGUGUACUACUGUGCUCUGCGGCCCACAGUGACAGGAAACACCAAA